rnacentral:rRNA from 1 species
GACGAACGCUGGCGGCGUGCCUAAUACAUGCAAGUAGAACGCUGAAGAGAGGAGCUUGCUCUUCUUGGAUGAGUUGCGAACGGGUGAGUAACGCGUAGGUAACCUGCCUGGUAGCGGGGGAUAACUAUUGGAAACGAUAGCUAAUACCGCAUAAAAUGGAUUAUCGCAUGAUAAUCGAUUGAAAGGUGCAAAUGCAUCACUACCAGAUGGACCUGCGUUGUAUUAGCUAGUUGGUGGGGUAACGGCUCACCAAGGCGACGAUACAUAGCCGACCUGAGAGGGUGAUCGGCCACACUGGGACUGAGACACGGCCCAGACUCCUACGGGAGGCAGCAGUAGGGAAUCUUCGGCAAUGGACGGAAGUCUGACCGAGCAACGCCGCGUGAGUGAAGAAGGUUUUCGGAUCGUAAAGCUCUGUUGUAAAGAGAAAGAAACGAGUGUGAGAAGUGGAAAAG